UUAUAGCCUAAAAUGUUCACUUGGCGGCUGUGUGGAACACGGGUUGUAGGAGGGUACGAAUGGAAGCAAAGAGACUAGUUGAAGCUUUGCGGUUCUCCAGGCAGCAGACGAUGGUGCUUUACACUACGGUGAGGUUGGUGAAGAUGGAGAAGAGUGAGUGGACCGGCCACAGGUUUUGGAAGUAGAGGCAGCAGAACUUGCUGGUAUUGAUAUCUCCAUUUCAGAGAGGAUAAAAUCGAGGCUCAAAGAGGUGAAGUAAUUGGCUCAGAGUUACACAGAAGAGAAAUCAUAUAGACCAAAGUCAUAAUGUCAGAAGAGUCAAUGGAAAUCCUCCCUACUCUGUCUCAUCCCAAAGAAAUGUGCAAUGGCUCUGCCUUCUCCUUCAGUUCACAAGUGGAAAAUGUCCUACAGCUGCACUCUCCAAAAUGGUAACACUAGCUACCCGUUAGCUAUUGAACACUUGAAGUAUAGCUAGUCCGAACUGAGGUGUACUUGUCAGUGUGAAAUGCACACCGGAUUUUGAAGACUUAGUAUCACAGAAAAAGAAUGGAAAAUAUCUCAACAAUCAUUUUUUAUUGAUUACAUGUUGAAACAAUAAUACUUUG